rnacentral:lncRNA from 1 species
ACGCCUGAAGGAUUUGUUUCCGUGGGCGGAGCACUGGCCGCUCAGUUUAGCGGGAUCUCCCCGCCUUCGCAGACUCCUCGUUUGGGUGGAGUGUGGGCUGAGUCGGCCAGAGCAUUUUGGUUUGCUUCUCUUUUCCAGAUGUUGCGGAACAAUUUCCUGUUGUGCUGAGCCAGGUUUUACGGCCACUGCCAUUUACCACCUAGAACUAGGGAGACAGGAGCAAGGAGAUCUUGAGAGCAGAAAACAAAACGACAAAACACAAAGAAAAAAAAAAAACUGUUAAAAGAUUUAAAAAUUACCUGCAAUCCCAUCAAUUUAGCAGCACAGCAACCAUCUGUUGAAUGGCAACUACUGAACUACACCCAGAUCUUCUUCUAGCAAAUCAAACACCUCUGUCCUCCAGCUAGGGUGUGGUGGCACAAGCUAGCU